UUAAAUUGAAGAGUUUGAUCAUGGCUCAGAUUGAACGCUGGCUGCAGGCCUAACACAUGCAAGUCGAACGCUAACGG
rnacentral:rRNA from 1 species